rnacentral:rRNA from 1 species
UACGAAGGGGGCUAGCGUUGCUCGGAAUCACUGGGCGUAAAGGGUGCGUAGGCGGGUCUUUAAGUCAGGGGUGAAAUCCUGGAGCUCAACUCCAGAACUGCCUUUGAUACUGGGGAUCUUGAGUACGGGAGAGGUGAGUGGAACUGCGAGUGUAGAGGUGAAAUUCGUAGAUAUUCGCAAGAACACCAGUGGCGAAGGCGGCUCACUGGCCCGUUACUGACGCUGAGGCACGAAAGCGUGGGGAGCAAACAGG